rnacentral:rRNA from 1 species
UACGUAGGGGGCAAGCGUUGUCCGGAUUUAUUGGGCGUAAAGAGCGUGUAGGCGGCCAGGUAGGUCCGUUGUGAAAACUCGAGGCUCAACCUCGAGACGUCGGCGGAAACCCUCUGGCUAGAGUCCGGAAGAGGAGAGUGGAAUUCCUGGUGUAGCGGUGAAAUGCGCAGAUAUCAGGAAGAACACCAAUGGCGAAGGCAGCUCUCUGGGACGGUACUGACGCUGAGACGCGAAAGCGUGGGGAGCGAACAGG